GGCCCUAUCGUCUAGCGGCCUAGGACGCCGCCCUCUCACGGCGGAAACUGGGGUUCGAUUCCCCAUAGGGCUA
rnacentral:tRNA from 1 species